AAAGGAAUAGACGGGGACCCGCACAAGCAGCGGAGCAUGUGGUUUAAUUCGAAGCAACGCGAAGAACCUUACCAAGACUUGACAUCGUACGCCAUCUAUAGAGAUAUAGAGUUCCAAGUUUACUUGGACGUAUAGACAGGUGGUGCAUGGUUGUCGUCAGCUCGUGUCGUGAGAUGUUGGGUUAAGUCCCGCAACGAGCGCAACCCUCAUAUCCGGUUGCCAAUAUUAAGUUAGGAACUCCGGAUAGACUGCCGUGGAUAACACGGAGGAAGGUGGGGAUGACGUCAAAUCAUCAUGCCCCUUACGUCUUGGGCUACACACGUGCUACAAUGGCUAUUACAAAGAGCAGCGAGACAGUAAUGUUCAGCAAAUCUCAAAAAGAUAGUCUCAGUUCGGAUUGUGGGCUGCAACCCGCCCACAUGAAGUCGGAGUUGCUAGUAAUCCCGAAUCAGAAUGUCGGGGUGAAUGCGUUCCCGGGUCUUGUACACACCGCCCGU
rnacentral:rRNA from 1 species